rnacentral:RNase_P_RNA from 1 species
UCGGGUGGCCGCUGCGCACGCAAGUGAGUAGAGGAAAGUCCGGACAUCACAAGGCAGCGUGUCCUUUGAAAGAGGGAGACACCCGGAGCCAAUGCCGGGUGGCCGGAAAGUGCCACAGAAAACAAACCGCCCGCAAGGGUAAGGGUGAAAAGGUGGGGUAAGAGCCCACCGCUCCGAAGGUAACGACGGAGGCACGGAAAACCCCGCGCGAUGCAAGACAAACAGGGGAAGGGUAGCCUGCCCGCUCAGAAUCCCCGGGUUAUAGUUGCACCCUGCUAUAAACGUAGGGCACGCCCCGGCUACGGAGCGCGAGAAAAAUGGUCACACAGCCCGCAAGGGCGGACAGAAUCCGGCUUACAGA